rnacentral:ncRNA from 1 species
GUAUCCUUCGCGAAUGAUCAGAAUCCUGAACGCACUCCGACGUCGCCGCUCCCAUAGGGAUGCCGCUGGCUCGUCACGCAUUUGCGCUCUCGGUGCGGUUUGCUCGAAGCGUAUGAAAUGAAGCCACGGAAUUCCGUGGCUUUUGU